GCAUUGAAACACUGGUUCUCAUCUGAUACCCGAAGUUAAGCAACGUCGAAUUUGGUCAGUACCUAGAUGGGUGAUUGCUUGGGAAUAACAGGU